CUACGGGAGGCUCCAGUCGAGAAUAUUCCACAAUGGGCGAAAGCCUGAUGGAGCGACGCCGCGUGCAGGAAGAAGGCCCUUGGGUCGUAAACUGCUUUUCUUAGGGAAAAAUGUAAUGAUGGUACCUAAGGAAUAAGAGGUUGCUAACUCUGUGCCAGCAGCAGCGGUAAUACAGAGACCUCAAGCGUUAUCCGGAUUUAUUGGGCGUAAAGAGCAUGUAGGCGGAUAUAUUAGUCAGAUGUCAAAUCUUCGAGCUUAACUCGAAAACUGCAUUUGAAACGGUAUAUCUUGAGGAAGUGAGAGAUCAAUGGAACGUAUGGUGUAGCAGUAAAAUGCGUUGAUAUCAUACGGAACACCAAAGGCGAAGGCAUUUGAUUGGCACUUUUCUGACGCUGAGAUGCGAAAGCGUGGGUAGCGAAUGGGAUAGAUACCCCCGUAGUC
rnacentral:rRNA from 1 species